rnacentral:rRNA from 1 species
GAUGAACGCUGGCGGCGUGCUUAACACAUGCAAGUCGAACGGGAUCCAAGGGGUGCUUGCACUUUUUGGUGAGAGUGGCGAACGGGUGAGUAACACGUGAGUAACCUGUCCUUUUCUUUGGGAUAAGCAUUCGAAAGGGUGUUUAAUACCUUAUGUUCUGUCUGCCUCGCAUGGGGUGGGUGGGAAAGGCUUUGGCCGGAUUUGGGUGGGCUCGCGGUCUAUCAGCUUGUUGGUGGGGUGAUGGCUUACCAAGGCUUUGACGGGUAGCCGGCCUGAGAGGGUGGUCGGUCACACUGGGACUGAGAUACGGCCCAGACUCCUGCGGGAGGCAGCAGUGGGGGAUAUUGCACAAUGGGCGAAAGCCUGAUGCAGCGACGCCGCGUGGGGGAUGAAGGCCUUCGGGUUGUAAACUUCUUUUGCUCUGAACAAGGCAUGCCAGUGGGUGUGUUGAGUGUAGGGGUUGAUUAGCGCCGGCUAACUACGUG